CAGGUGAUGCCACUGUAACAAUUACUCACCGUUACACUCCAAAGGAUCAACUCCGGCAACACACUAAGAUCGCAGACAUUGUUGUGGCUGCUGCAGGGAUUCCAAACCUAAUCACAGCCGACAUGAUUAAAGAGGGAGCAGCGGUGAUUGAUGUUGGAAUAAACAGAGUAACAGACCCAGUCAGUGGAAAGAGCAGAUUGGUUGGAGAUGUUGAUUUUGAA